rnacentral:rRNA from 1 species
UACGUAGGGGGCAAGCGUUGUCCGGAUUUACUGGGCGUAAAGAGCGUGUAGGCGGCCACGCAGGUCCGUUGUGAAAACUGGAGGCUCAACCUCCAGACGUCGACGGAAACCGUGUGGCUAGAGUCCGGAAGAGGAGAGUGGAAUUCCUGGUGUAGCGGUGAAAUGCGCAGAUAUCAGGAAGAACACCCGUGGCUAAGGCGGCUCUCUAGUACGGUACUGACGCUGAGACGCGAAAGCGUGGGGAGCGAACAGG